rnacentral:tRNA from 1 species
GCAGGAGUAGCGAAGCGGUCAAACGCGCCAGACUCAAGAUCUGCUGGCUUAGUGCCUUCGAAGGUUCAAAUCCUUCCUCCUGCA